CCGCAUGGUUCAAAAGUGAAAGACGGUCUUGCUGUCACUUAUAGAUGGAUCCGCGCUGCAUUAGCUAGUUGGUAAGGUAACGGCUUACCAAGGCAACGAUGCAUAGCCGACCUGAGAGGGUGAUCGGCCACACUGGAACUGAGACACGGUCCAGACUCCUACGGGAGGCAGCAGUAGGGAAUCUUCCGCAAUGGGCGAAAGCCUGACGGAGCAACGCCGCGUGAGUGAUGAAGGUCUUCGGAUCGUAAAACUCUGUUAUUAGGGAAGAACAUAUGUGUAAGUAACUGUGCACAUCUUGACGGUACCUAAUCAGAAAGCCACGGCUAACUACGUGCCAGCAGCCGCGGUAAUACGUAGGUGGCAAGCGUUAUCCGGAAUUAUUGGGCGUAAAGCGCGCGUAGGCGGUUUUUUAAGUCUGAUGUGAAAGCCCACGGCUCAACCGUGGAGGGUCAUUGGAAACUGGAAAACUUGAGUGCAGAAGAGGAAAGUGGAAUUCCAUGUGUAGCGGUGAAAUGCGCAGAGAUAUGGAGGAACACCAGUGGCGAAGGCGACUUUCUGGUCUGUAACUGACGCUGAUGUGCGAAAGCGUGGGGAUCAAACAGGAUUAGAUACCCUGGUAGUCCACGCCGUAAACGAUGAGUGCUAAGUGUUAGGGGGUUUCCGCCCCUUAGUGCUGCAGCUAACGCAUUAAGCACUCCGCCUGGGGAGUACGACCGCAAGGUUGAAACUCAAAGGAAUUGACGGGGACCCGCACAAGCGGUGGAGCAUGUGGUUUAAUUCGAAGCAACGCGAAGAACCUUACCAAAUCUUGACAUCCUUUGACAACUCUAGAGAUAGAGCCUUCCCCUUCGGGGGACAAAGUGACAGGUGGUGCAUGGUUGUCGUCAGCUCGUGUCGUGAGAUGUUGGGUUAAGUCCCGCAACGAGCGCAACCCUUAAGCUUAGUUGCCAUCAUUAAGUUGGGCACUCUAAGUUGACUGCCGGUGACAAACCGGAGGAAGGUGGGGAUGACGUCAAAUCAUCAUGCCCCUUAUGAUUUGGGCUACACACGUGCUACAAUGGACAAUACAAAGGGCAGCGAAACCGCGAGGUCAAGCAAAUCCCAUAAAGUUGUUCUCAGUUCGGAUUGUAGUCUGCAACUCGACUACAUGAAGCUGGAAUCGCUAGUAAUCGUAGAUCAGCAUGCUACGGUGAAUACGUUCCCGGGUCUUGUACACACCGCCCGUCACACCACGAGAGUUUGUAACACCCGAAGCCGGUGGAGUAACCUUUUAGGAGCUAGCCGUCGAAGGUGGGACAAAUGAUUGGGGUGAAGUCGUAACAAGGUAGCCGUAUCGGAAGGUGCGGCUGGAUCACCUCCUUUCUAAGGA
rnacentral:rRNA from 1 species